CAGAGAUAGUGAGAGGAUAUUAAAAAAUCUUUUCCUGAUCUAAAAUAAGCUAACUGAUAAUUUAAGAAGCUCUUUUCUCAUGAAGUCAAAAUUGAGUCCAAGUGGUUAACUGUCAUUACAGCAAAAAAAAAAAGUGGAUUUCAGAGUUUGUUUGGAAAACACCAGCCACUAAAAAGAGCACAACAGGAGAUCAGUAUACCGGCCAGUACUUCACUGAACACUUCAUCAAAACCUAACAGCAGUUUUACCUCGAGGAUGGCUGAUAAAGGUGUCAGUAAAAGCCCUUUGCUGCUCCUGCUCACAGUGAAGGAUGUAUCUCUGUGUCUGUUCAAACUUCAACCACAAACUAAAGGCCUCAGCUGAGUCUGUGCUAACCUGUAUCAGCAGCUUCAUCUCAACCAUCAUUCUCCAGUUUGCAGCGAUUAAAAUCUUGCCCACGAUCCACGGUGACCCAUAAAAGACGCCUACACCUGUCCCUGUGAAAGUCCACAAAGACAGACUGAACUCUUUGGACAUCAGUGUCUUCAUUUGGGACUCAAAUAAUCAACCUGGUUUGGAGUUAAAGUGGAGCACCGGCAGGUUAAGGUAAGACUCUGUUCAUUAUUAUCUGCCGCCGAGCAGAUUAACAUCACAGCUAUGUUGUUGUUGUUUUUUGUGCUGAUACUUUCGCUGCAAAGUAUAUCUGACUUCACAAACUUGUUUUUUGCUGGUUAUAGAGAGAUGCACAUUUGGAUAUUAGUGUAUGUUGUUGAUGUUGUGCCAAAUGGACACGCAGUUGUGCAGCUGUGUGUUGGCUAAUUGUGUUGUUGUCUGCUGUGUUUGUGUGAAGAAGCUGCAAAACUUGGUAACUUUUUACCUGUGGGUCGUAAGUUUGAUGAAUCAUGUGCUACAUGGAUAUAAGCUAACCUGUGUGAUGCUAACCUGUGUGAAACAUGGAUGUUGGCUAACCUGUGUGUGUUACAUGGAUAUAAGCUAAUCUGUGUGAUACAUACAAGCUAACCUGUGUGAUACACACAAGCUAACCUGUGUGAAACUUGCAUGUUAGCUAACCUGUGUGAUACAUGGAUAUAAGCUAACCUGUGUGGUGCUAACCUCUGUGCUACAUGGAUGUAUGCUAAGCUGUGUGAUACAUGGAUGUUAGCUAACUUGUGCAAUACAUGAAUGUUAGCUAACCUGUUUGCUAUAUCGAUGUAAGCUAAUCUGUGUGUGCUACAUGGAUGUUGGCUAACCUGUGCGAUACAUUAAUACAAGCUAACCUUUUGUGUGGAUAGGUGCAGUCCAGUGUGUUACAACUUUUUCACCUUGUUUCUCAUGUUAGCUCUCCCUCGUAAAACAGGGUCUGUUUAUUGCAAGACAGACAUUUACUACUGAUCACAGUACUGCAGGUUAUGUUGUAUUAAAGUGUGAAUCAGCUGUGUGUUCGCAUAUGACAACUCUUAACUCAUUAAUGCUAAUACUUGGCACUCGCGCCCUGUGGUGCAAUCUGUGUGCGCUGCAUAUACUGAUAAUAAUAAUAAUAAUAAUGAUAAUAACAACUUGAUUUUUAUAGCACUUUUCAAAAUAAACAUUUACAAACAUGUAGUCAUAAAGCACAUGGAAAAAGACAGAUACAAACAAAAGCUCAGUUAAAAGGAAUUAAAGGCCAUUUUCAUAAAUCAUAAGGAACCCAGACACACAAGAACCAGGCAACAUAAAAUGAGACCAUGAGGAUCAAAUUAAAAAACAUAAACUAGUUUUUAAAAAAAAGAAAAUGCAAUUAAAAGGGGGGUUGAAAGUGGAAAACAGGAUAGUAAAAUUAAAAGACAAUAUCAAUAAUGAUAAUAAAAUAAUAAGUAAUACUGAUAAUAAUAGUAAUGAUCAAAUAGAGCAACAGAAAUGAUCAAGAGAAAGAAAAAAAGCAAUAAAAGGCCGAAAGGGUUAAUUAAGAAAAGAGUAUAAUUAUAACAAAAGCUAAAACAUACUGAGUCCGAGGUAGCAUGUAGAAAAACUUAAUUGUUGAGGUGUGGCGUCUUGUAUUUCCCUGCGGUGGUUCGCCAUUACCUGUAUGGAAAACUCUGCAGUUGAUGUUGAAUAGAGAAGUCCGAUCUUCCCACAGCUCCUCUAUCUGCUCCUUUUUAUCGCCAGUAUUUCUUCAUUCAUCCUUGUUCUUCUUGUUUUGACUGUCAGGUUUCCUUUUCCACUUUUGUCAGAGCUCAUCUACUGGUUGUUGGUUGUGUUAGGUCACUGCUACUUGCGAUAAUAUCAAACCCAAGACUAGGAAAAGACUGAUAACAGUGCAGAUUACCACUUAAACUUAACGAUUGAGAUGAUGGGAGCGCACUGUGACUCUGCUGUGACUCCAGUAAAACUCCAAGAUUUACCUCAGACAUUCAGUUUUUGGUCUGGGACUGUGAAAAUCGUUUGGUGGAAGCCCAGCAUAAGAAAUGUGACUGCAAAGAGAUCGGCCUCUUUGUGUCGUCAGUCUAUCAUAUUAUAUUUCUGAGUGUCCCUGUGUCGUUUUAUCAUUCGUAGAUAUUCCUGAGAGUUUGGUUCGGUUACUGCACGAGAUGUUUCCACUGUCUCCAAACUGCCGAGUCACUCUCAGCUGCUGCAGGGACUCUCCUUUAAAAACAUGAUUAAGCAAACAUGAUUAUCAGCGUGAUAUGCGGGACUGACAAUCAUGUUAUUUUAGAGCUGCAGUGACCUGUAUGUUCGCGUACACAAUGGAGGGUUUAUGAGGCGGAGGCCGUGACCUCUAAAACAACAACAAAGACUAUUGAGGCGCUCACAAUGAACAUCCCACCAGACUUCAGCUGCUCGUAUUCAACGUACAGUGACUUCUGAUGAAACGGCACGAUAAACUGGUGUGAAAAGAGAGACAUAACACUGAUUUAGCCUUCCUGGAAAUCCCCUUUUCUUUGGUUUCAUGCAAAAACAUAUACAUAUACAGCACAGAUGUUUAAAAAGGAGUUUCUUUUUAUUCAGGAAGUUGAAGUUGUAUAUAUACAGGCGUGCACAUGCAGGCUCUCUGCAGAGGCUGUUCUGGUCUACUGAUACUGUGUGAAUCAUUUGUUGCUGCAUAAAAGCAGCACAGGGUCAGAGUUGCAGCUCUGAUAAUUGCUUAAUUGUUCUAUUUAUAAGCCGAAUAUGAACGACCUCAGCGUUGGCAGCGCCCCUUUGUUUCACAUCUUUCAAAGCAGGAGGGAUGACACACGAAAGGAGAUAAAAAUACAAGACGUUUACUUCUCUCUCCCUCUCUCUCUAUCUCUCUCUCUCUCUCUGUCUCCGCGUCUCCAAGACGAUGCUGAAGCCUCAGUAUCAGGGGUCUGUCUGUGUCUUUGGCCCCGCUGUUCCCGUCCCCCCCUGCACAAUGAAAUUACAGCAGAGCGAGCAUCGUCUCAUGGAGGCAGAUUCAAGGCCCA
rnacentral:lncRNA from 1 species